rnacentral:rRNA from 1 species
AUACGGAGGGUGCGAGCGUUAAUCGGAAUUACUGGGCGUAAAGGGCACGUAGGCGGCUUAAUAAGUCAGAUGUGAAAGCCCUGGGCUUAACCUGGGAACUGCAUUUGAAACGGUUAGGCUAGAGUUUGAUAGAGGGGAGUGGAAUUUCCGGUGUAGCGGUGAAAUGCGUAGAGAUCGGAAGGAACACCAGUGGCGAAGGCGACUCCCUGGAUUAAAACUGACGCUGAGGUGCGAAAGCGUGGGUAGCAAACAGGAUUAGAAACCCCGGUAGUCC